CCUACGGGAGGCAGCAGUGAGGAAUAUUGGUCAAUGGGCGCGAGCCUGAACCAGCCAAGUAGCGUGAAGGAUGACUGCCCUACGGGUUGUAAACUUCUUUUAUAAAGGAAUAAAGUGAGGCACGUGUGCCUUUUUGUAUGUACUUUAUGAAUAAGGAUCGGCUAACUCCGUGCCAGCAGCCGCGGUAAUACGGAGGAUCCGAGCGUUAUCCGGAUUUAUUGGGUUUAAAGGGAGCGUAGAUGGGUUGUUAAGUCAGUUGUGAAAGUUUGCGGCUCAACCGUAAAAUUGCAAUUGCUACUGGCAGUCCUGAGGACAGUUGAGGUAGGCGGAAUUCGUGGUGUAGCGGUGAAAUGCUUAGAUAUCACGAAGAAGUCAGAUUGCGAAGGCAGCGUACUAAACUGCCACUGACAUUGAUGCUCGAAAGUGUGGGUAUCAAACAGGAUUAGAUACCCUUGUAGUC
rnacentral:rRNA from 1 species